UAGGGAAUCUUCGGCAAUGGACGAAAGUCUGACCGAGCAACGCCGCGUGAGUGAAGAAGGUUUUCGGAUCGUAAAACUCUGUUGUUAGAGAAGAACAAGGACGUUAGUAACUGAACGUCCCCUGACGGUAUCUAACCAAAGCCACGGCUAACUACGUGCCAGCAGCCGCGGUAAUACGUAGGUGGCAAGCGUUGUCCGGAUUUAUUGGGCGUAAAGCGAGCGCAGGCGGUUUCUUAAGUCUGAUGUGAAAGCCCCCGGCUCAACCGGGGAGGGUAAUUGGAAACUGGGAGACUUGAGUGCAGAAGAGGAGAGUGGAAUUCCAUGUGUAGCGGUGAAAUGCGUAGAUAUAUGGAGGAACACCAGUGGCGAAGGCGGCUCUCUGGUCUGUAACUGACGCUGAGGCUCGAAAGCGUGGGGAGCAAACAGG
rnacentral:rRNA from 1 species